AUCAAUUAUUUUUAGUGUUGCUGGAUCGGUCCUAGAACUGAUUCACUCUUUUAUUUUAUCUGUCCUUCCGAUUUUUUUACUAUUCAGUGAACCUCGGUCCUUCAGUCCCACCUAUAAAACAAUAACUGAUAGUUAGAACGUAUAAUAAUAGGUUCUAGCCUCUUCAGCUCCUACAUUAAACUUUUCAGAUCCACAAGGAAUUGGAAAGAAAAUCAAGGGUCCGCCAAAAUUUGAUGGGACACUCGUUUCCCUCUGGCUGUGAACGGUAACUUUUUAUUAUGUAUAAACAAAAUACUAAAGUUACGCUAUGGAGUCGAAUUCUUUAUAUCUGUUCAUUCUUUUGAUAUACUUUUUAUUUCUAAUUCAAACAAGUAAUAAUUCUAUCUUUGACAAUUAUUGAUUAAUAUUAAUAUAAUAAAUGUUUUAAAUGUGAAA
rnacentral:lncRNA from 1 species